rnacentral:rRNA from 1 species
UACAGGGGGGGCAAGCGUUGUUCGGAAUUACUGGGCGUAAAGGGUUCGUAGGUGGCCACUUAAGUCAGACGUGAAAUCCCUCAGCUUAACUGGGGAACUGCGUCUGAUACUGAGUGGCUUGAGUGCAGGAGAGGAAUGCGGAAUUCCGGGUGUAGCGGUGAAAUGCGUAGAUAUCUGGAGGAACACCGGUGGCGAAGGCGGCAUUCUGGACUGUAACUGACACUGAGGAACGAAAGCGUGGGGAGCAAACAGG